rnacentral:rRNA from 1 species
AGUGACAGACAUAAAAAAAAUAAUGACAUGUGCCCGAUCUCGUCUGAUCUCGGAAGCUAAGCAGGGUUGGGCCUGGUUAGUACUUGGAUGGGAGAUCACGUAGGAAGACCAGGUGCUGUAGGCA